rnacentral:rRNA from 1 species
UACGAAGGGUGCAAGCGUUACUCGGAAUUACUGGGCGUAAAGCGUGCGUAGGUGGUUCGUUAAGUCUGAUGUGAAAGCCCUGGGCUCAACCUGGGAACUGCAUUGGAAACUGGCUGACUAGAGUGCGGUAGAGGGGUGUGGAAUUCCCGGUGUAGCAGUGAAAUGCGUAGAUAUCGGGAGGAACACCAGUGGCGAAGGCGACACCCUGGACCAGCACUGACACUGAGGCACGAAAGCGUGGGGGAGCAAACAGG